rnacentral:pre_miRNA from 15 species
UUUAUGGGAUACACACAGUUCAGUUUUGUCACACUUCAAGCAUCACUGGGCUUUGUUUAUCUCAUGAG